CGAGGAGCCUCCACAAAUUAGACGGUUUCCCCCAAAAAACUCAAUGUCCAGUCCAGCUGAUGUAAAAACAAGAGCCAACAAGAACCAGCCUGACAGCAAUCCCUACAAGCUCCGGAAAAAGAAUUGAACUACACCUCCCUGACUGCACUGGAUUCAACUCACUCCGUUUCGAUUGACACCCCAACCAGAACCUCGAGUAAUGACUUCAAUCAAGUUGAGGAUUUCAACGUAGAUCUUCAAUCAAACAAAUCUCAUCUAACAUGGACUAGACAUAACUCAUUAGAGACUUUCCCUGUACUGGCAUUUUUUUUUCCACAGGGCCCCCACAUGACUAUCAUCGUCCCAUUUCAGCAGGAAGUAACCUAGAAGAUGCUACGCCCCCGUUCCCCAUUAUUGUGUAUUAGGGUAGUGUAAGUCUAGUUAAAUAUAACCUUCUUAUUGUUUAGAGUUGGGAUUGGAAGAAGGUGUUCAAGUUAG
rnacentral:lncRNA from 1 species